rnacentral:rRNA from 1 species
UGCGUAGGCGGAAUGAUAAGUUAGUGGUGAAAGCCCCCGGCUCAACCGGGGAACUGCCAUUAAUACUGUCAUUCUUGAGUAUAGUUGAAGUGGGCGGAAUGUAUCAUGUAGCGGUGAAAUGCUUAGAUAUGAUACAGAACACCGAUAGCGUAGGCAGCUUGCUAAACUAUAACUGACGCUCAGGCGCGAAAGCGUGGGGAGCAAACAGGAUUAGAUACCUUGGUAGUCC